GUACAGAGUUCAAGAACAGCCAGAGGCAGGCUUUGUGUUUGACUCAAGGAAGAGAGAACACUGUAGGUGAAUGUGUGAAGGCAGCCUCCACUACCACAAACCAUGCAGUUGAGUUUGCCUCAUGUGUGGAUACUGCAGGAGUCAGCACAUCCAGAGGGCAGUGGUUGAGCCUCUCCAGGGGAAAGGCACUGGUGUGGUGACUGAAGAUACACUGUCCCCUCUGUUUACUCUCUGAGGAUUCCACCCAGAGUUCUCAUGUUGUUUUCAUGCCCAUGCUCUGAACACAAUCUGCCUCUGAGUUGAAGUCAGUCCUCUGUGAGGGGAUAUUUUAAAUGCCUUGCCGUGUGCUGGGGCAGCACCAUUUUCACUGACUUUCCCCUGGUCCUCAGGCUUUUCUUGGUUUUCAUGUGCAGACAGUAUGUUGUUUUUCAACUUUCAUGAUUAUGUGGUCAAUUAUUUUAAUAAACAUACAAUGCCCACUA